rnacentral:rRNA from 1 species
UACGUAGGGGGCAAGCGUUGUCCGGAUUUAUUGGGCGUAAAGAGCGUGUAGGCGGUUUGGUAGGUCCGCUGUGAAAACUCGAGGCUCAACCUCGAGACGCCGGUGGAAACCAUCAGACUAGAGUCCGGAAGAGGAGAGUGGAAUUCCUGGUGUAGCGGUGAAAUGCGCAGAUAUCAGGAAGAACACCCGUGGCUAAGGCGGCUCUCUGGACCAUAACUGACGCUGAGACGCGAAAGCUAGGGGAGCAAACAGG